rnacentral:lncRNA from 1 species
UUCUACUUUCAGACUCAAACUGAAAUAUGGAUUCUUCUUGGAUCUUGAGCCUGCUGUUUCUGGGAACUGUAUCUAUCGUUGGCUUUCCUGGUCCUAGGCUUUCAGGUUCAGGCUAUAACCCCACUAUCAGCUCUCCUGGGUCUCCAGCUUGCUGACUCACCCUGCAGAUCUUGAACUUUCCAGUCUGCAUAAUCUCUUGGACAUUUCCUUAUAAUCAAUUGCUCUGUAUAUAUCCUGUUGGUUCUGUUUCUCUAGAGAACCCUGGUGAAUACACAUGGGUUUGUUCGCUAGUUUUUCAACACUAAUGGCUACAUUUUCUUUGAAAUGUAUGAAAUUGGCCAAUUGAUAAUUAAAGAAAGCUCAUUACCAGGCAAAUACAAAAAAAGCCAUUUCCCUUUGAAAGAUAAUAUUUACAUUAUAGAAACAUUUACAUUCUAAAUUAUUAAUUUACUAAAGAGUAAAUAUCUCUCUUUAAAUAUAAUGUUACUAUGGUUAACAUAAAAAUUAUAAUGUUUUAUUUUUCUUUAGUGUAGUUGUAUUAGAAGUUUUUUUGAGGGGGAAAUAGGAGAAAAGCCAAAGAAUUCAAAUUUUCUCUGAACUUCUAAACUCCUUUUUUGAACCAUUAACUACAUGUUCAAUUCCCAAUCUCUGUAUGCAAUUAAAGAACCAAGUUGAAGGUGUUCAUAUUAGACUGUAAAUUCCAACAUAUUAUCACUUCUGCUUUAUUCACUGUGGCAUUUCAAGUACUUUAUUUUUUUUAAAAAUUAAAGGCAUAAUAUUUUUAGAGAAGAUUUAGAUUCACAAAAAAUCUAAGAGGAAGAUAUGGAGAUUUCUCAUAACAUCCUUUGCCAUUCUCUGUCUUCCCUGUUAAACAAUGUCCCCACCAAAAUGGUUCACUUAUUAAAACUGAUGAAGCUACAUUGCUACAUCAUCACCUGAAGUCCACCAUUUAUAUGAAGGAUUAUUCUUGGUGCUGUAUAUUUUAUGGGUUUGGACAAAUUUAAAAUAACGUUGUAUUAUCAUAGAGUGGUGAUGGGCCCUAAAUCCUGGGCUUCACCUGUUGAUCUCCCCUCUCUCUAAUACCCAACAACCAGUGACUAAUUUUUUACUGUCUCCAUAGUUUUCCCAAAUGUUUUUCAAUUUCUGACACAGGAAUAUUAAAAAAGCACUUAUCAAGGUAACUAACAACUUCCAGUUUGAUAAUAAAUGGUAAGAACCCAUUUUACACCAUAACUGACACAGUUGACCAAUCUUUUUCCUUUCUGAAAUGCUUCCUUUGUGGUUUAACAUUAUUUUCUUUCUUGUUUACUAGGUAUUUCUUCCCAAUGUUCUGGCUUCUUGACCUCAUUGUAACACUCUGAAGGCCUCCAGCCUUGGUCCUCCAUUUUCCCCUUGGAUAAUGGCUAAUCCCAUUGUUUUAAAUACUAUCCAGAUGUUGAGCCUCCAGAUUUUUUUCUCUAGAUCUUAACUUUCUCCUGAGGCCCAGACUUAUAUAUAUUCUUUUCCAGUUUUACUCAAGUAUGAUUGACAAAUGAAAAUUGUAUGUAUUCAAACAUCUCCCGUUUCCCCCAGCACCAGUCCCUGUUACCACCAUUCUGUUCUCCUUUUCUAUACAUUUUUCUCCAGAUGACAAAUUGUAGUGAGGGCACACCGUAUUUGUGUUUCUGUAGCUAGCUUAUUUCACUUAGGAUAAACUUCUCCAGGUUCAUCUAUAUUGUCAUCAAUGGCAGGAUAUCCUUCUCUUUGAAGGCUGAAUAAUAUUUAAUUUUAUAUAUACAUCAUGGUAUGGUUUAGAUAGUAGGUGUCCCCAAAAGCUCAGGUGUGAGACAAUGCAAGAACAUUCACAGGUGAAAUGAUUGUGUUAUGAGAGCCUUAACCCAAUAAGUGAAUUAACUCCUUAACAGGGAUUAACUGAGUGUUAACUGUAGGCUGGUAAGGUGUAGCUGGAAGAUGUGGGUCCCUGGGUUUCAUGUCUUUGGGGUCUAUAUUUGGUGAGCUGAACUUAGUCUAUCAGUGCUUCCUAAUCAUCAUGUGAGAUGAUUGCCUUCACUACACUCUUCUGCCAUGAUGUUCUGCCUCACCUCAAGCCUGGAGGAAUGGACCUGGCUGUCUGUGGAAUGAGACCUCUGAAUGAGCCCCCAAAUAAACUUUUCCUCCUCUAAAAUUGCUCUUACCAGGUCUUUCAAUCACAGCAAUGAAAAAGCUGACUAAAACACUUCACAAUUUCUUUAUUUAUUGAUCCACUGAUGGAUACUUAAUUUGAUUCCAUUUCUUGGCUAUUCUGAAUGACACUGCAGUGAACAGGAAAACACAGCUGUCUCCUCAACACACUGACUUUAUUUCCUUUGGACAUACCCAGAAGCAGGAUUUCUGGAUCAUGUGAUGGUUCAAUUUUUAACUUUUUGAGUAGCUUCCAUACAGUUUCCCAAUAGCCACACCAAUUUACAUCCCCACCAAAAGGCUUUCUCUCUUCCAUAUCAUUCCAGUGCUUGUUACCUUAUGCAAUAAGAUGAAUGAAACUCAGAAGUAUUAUGUCAAAGAGGCCAGAAGAUGACACAUUGUAUACUUACAGGAGUCAAUUUAUUUGGUAGCCUUUUUGAUUCCAUUUAUAUGGCAAAUUGUAGUGAUUUCUAGUGGGCUUGUGCAGGGGAAGACACUGACUGCAAAAAUGGCAUGAGGCAACUUUUUGGAGUGAUGGAAAUAUUUUAGAUCUUAAUUGUGGCAGUGGGGUGGUGUUUACAAGAUUAUAUAUAUUUGACAAAAAUUCA